rnacentral:lncRNA from 1 species
CAGUCAUCUGUCUUAGAGCUAUUGGAAUCCUGGAUCAUUGUGGGAAAUGAAAGAUACUUCAAUGGAAUCAGCAGCCAUUGAUCCAAUGCCAACUCCAAGACUGGAACGUCGCAAUGAUAGUUCCAAGGCGGAAAUUUGACGUAAUUCUUUUCGACACAGUUUUACAGGCAUCUUGCAUGUGAAUAACUCACAACUUUAAUUCAUGGAACAAAUUGAGAAAUAGUCUUUUUUGGGGGUUUGGUACUCCCUGGAAACAUAAGAGUGCUUUGGGCGCCUCUGGUGCCUUUCCAUGCCUGCCUUCUCUGCUGUUCUUGCUACUAGUGAAUUCUAAAUCAUGGCCAAGUGAUGCCAGCACUGGAUAA